UACGGAGGGUGCAAGCGUUAUCCGGAAUCACUGGGUUUAAAGGGUGCGUAGGCGGUGGCGUAAGUCAGUUGUGAAAUUCCCCGGCUUAACCGGCGGGACUGCGAUUGAUACUGCGUUACUUGAAUCAGGUUGAGGUAGGCGGAAUGUGACAUGUAGCGGUGAAAUGCUUAGAUAUGUCAUAGAACACCGAUUGCGAAGGCAGCUUGCUGGACCUGUAUUGACGCUGAGGCACGAAAGCGUGGGGAGCAAACAGG
rnacentral:rRNA from 2 species